rnacentral:rRNA from 1 species
UACAGGGGGGGCAAGCGUUGUUCGGAAUUACUGGGCGUAAAGGGCUCGUAGGCGGCCAACUAAGUCACACGUGAAAUCCCCAGGCUUAACCUGGGAACUGCGUGUGAUACUGGAUGGCUUGAAUCCGGGAGAGGGAUGCGGGAUUCCAGGUGUAGCGGUGAAAUGCGUAGAUAUCUGGAGGAACACCGGUGGCGAAGGCGGCAUCCUGGACCGGUAUUGACGCUGAUGAGCGAAAGCCAGGGGAGCAAACGGG